UGGGGAUUAGCUCAGUGGUAGAGCACUUGCCUAGCAAGCGCAUGGCCCUGGGUUCGGUCCCCAGCUCCAA
rfam:Rattus norvegicus chromosome 4, whole genome shotgun sequence.